CCUACGGGCGGCAGCAGUGAGGAAUAUUGGUCAAUGGGCGUAAGCCUGAACCAGCCAAGUAGCGUGAAGGAUGAAUGCUCUAUGGGUUGUACACCUCUUUUAUAAGGGAAUAAAGUGCAGGAUGUGUACUGCUUUGCAUGUACCUUAUGAAUAAGUAUCGGCUAACUCCGUGCCAGCAGCCGCGGUAAUACGGAGGAUCCGAGCUUUAUCCGGAUUUAUUGGGUUUAAAGGGAGCGUAGGCGGGCUUUUAAGUCAGUUGUGAAAGUUUGCGGCUCAACCGUAAAAUUGCAGUUGAAACUGGCAGACUUGAGUAUGGUAGAGGUAGGCGGAAUGCGUGGUGUAGCGGUGAAAUGCUUAGAUAUCACGCAGAACCCCGAUUGCGAAGGCAGCCUGC
rnacentral:rRNA from 1 species